rnacentral:rRNA from 1 species
UGAGGAAUAUUGGUCAAUGGGCGAGAGCCUGAACCAGCCAAGUCGCGUGAAGGAUGAAGGUCCUAUGGAUUGUAAACUUCUUUUAUAGUAGAAUAAAGUGAUCCACGUGUGGGUUUUUGUAUGUAUACUAUGAAUAAGGAUCGGCUAACUCCGUGCCAGCAGCCGCGGUAAUACGGAGGAUCCGAGCGUUAUCCGGAUUUAUUGGGUUUAAAGGGUGCGUAGGCGGAAUAAGAAGUCAGUUGUGAAAGUUUGCGGCUCAACCGUAAAAUUGCAGUUGAUACUGUUAUUCUUGAGUGUACAUAAGGUAGGCGGAAUUCGUGGUGUAGCGGUGAAAUGCUUAGAUAUCACGAAGAACUCCAAUUGCGAAGGCAGCUUACCGGGGUACAACUGACGCUGAGGCACGAAAGUGUGGGUAUCAAACA